rnacentral:rRNA from 1 species
CUCGUAGGCGGUUCGUCGCGUCCGGUGUGAAAGUCCAUCGCUUAACGGUGGACCCGCGCCGGGUACGGGCGGGCUUGAGUGCGGUAGGGGAGACUGGAAUUCCCGGUGUAACGGUGGAAUGUGUAGAUAUCGGGAAGAACACCAAUGGCGAAGGCAGGUCUCUGGGCCGUCACUGACGCUGAGGAGCGAAAGCGUGGGGAGCGAACA